rnacentral:rRNA from 1 species
AGUAACACGUAUCCAACCUGCCGUCUACUCUUGGACAGCCUUCUGAAAGGAAGAUUAAUACAAGAUGGCAUCAUGAGUCCGCAUGUUCACAUGAUUAAAGGUAUUCCGGUAGACGAUGGGGAUGCGUUCCAUUAGAUAGUAGGCGGGGUAACGGCUCACCAAGGCGACGAUCAGUAGCCGGCUUGAGAGAGUGAACGGCCACAUUGGGACUGAGACACGGCCCAAACUCCUACGGGAGGCAGCAUG